rnacentral:lncRNA from 1 species
CCCUCAGCCCGAGCUGAGGACACUCCGCGAUCCUUUACUCGCUCUAGGCUUCAGGCUCGGCGGAGCCACUGGGCAGCCUAGCGGGGUUGGGGGCAUCAGACACAGACCCCAACCGUCUAGUAGAACAACCCCUGGCCGGCUUGGCAAGCGGUUUGUGUUUUAUCUCCGCCUCUUUACACCCACGCCUGUUCCUAAAUCCCGCGUCAUAAACCCACCCCUUCCCAUUUACCGGUGAUCCUCAUCUCGCCCUCGGAGUCCACGGAGGUCCUCCCCUACACUGUGCCCUACAGCAGAUGAGCCGAAUCCUCGCUUCUGGACUGCCCACUCUCGGCCACUUAAGGGUUGAGGACAAUGAGACAGGCUUCGAGACGAUCUCCAACCUUCUCCAAGCAGUGGUUUAUUUUCCAGAUUCUUCUGCUGAAAUGCUUCAGGAAGCUCACCUCUAGCCCCAUUUUACUGCCUUGAGCAUGAAGCCCACCCCAUUCUGGAAGUCAUUAGUGCAAAAGCUACGCAUCGAGUAAGUAAUUGCAUUGCUGAGGACCUCACACAGAAACAAGCUUUCUGGCAUUUUAUGGGCAUAAUGUGUAAGGAGCUAAUGCCUAAUUUUUAAACCUUAUUUAGACCUUUCUUAGAGCACGGCAGAUAAGCAUUAAUUAGUAUAUGGUCAGAGUAUACUCUGGUUUCUUACCUGCUUGGACAAUUAGAAGGUGCAUUAAAAUGAAAGUUUUAUUGGAAACUAGAGAAGCAUACAAGAUAAGUAUAUAAAUUUUACAUAUUUAAUAAUUUAGUGAUAUUAACACUUAGCACCUUUUUUGAUAUAUUUUAAAAUAGUUAUUUCAAUGGAACUUCCCCUAAUGCUCAAGAGAUUUGGGCAAAAUUCUGUAAUUCACAAAACUGUCUCAUACCUUAACAAUUGCUGUUAAAUUUACCAUGAUUUGUCACAUUAAAUGGGGUAUUUUCUAUUCAAAUUCAAAUAAUUAAAUCACUAUGUUUCUCAAGUGAGUCUCUUAGAAUGUUGUAAGUUAAUAGAAAUAAACAUGGAUUUUAGUUUUUGAUGCUCAGAAAAAGUUUACAUAGACACUGAGAAUGAUGAUUUUGUUUUAAGAAGAAGAACCUAAGUUAUUUAUUCUAUGAAAAUGUGUUGUGGUUUAGUUUCUGCUUUAAUGAAAGAUAAUUUAUGGCAUUUAUUAAGUUCCUCCUUAGUUAAAAUUCAUCCAUCAACAGCUGUCCAAGAAAUCUUAAUGUUUUAACAUCAUAAUAUAUUCCUGUUUUGCCUAUGGAUGUUGAGGGACCAAAGCCCCAUAGAUAUAUUUGCCAAAUAAUAUUGAUGCUGUUAAAGAGAUUCAUAGUAGGAAAUCAGUCAGUUGAGACCCACACAUCUUAUUGACUGGAGUCAGGCUUUUUUAUUUUGAGGUCUUGUUUUGCAAAUAUAGACAGUAAAGCAAUAGCCCGUUUAAGUCAAAGCAGCUUAUUUAGAUGGCCUCACAGUGUCUCUGGACUUUUCAAAUGCUGUUUUAAUCAGUCCAUGUUACUGAAAAUUAUCUUGGUGAAUGAAGAGAUCUGAAUCUUACAAAGUCCUACAUUUAACUCAAUAGUUUUCUAAUGAAACCGUUUGAGAUGCCCUUUAAAAACACUAUUUUGGAGUGUUAAAAGUUCAAAUACUUUUUACAAACUCAGUGUUCAUGUAUUAUACUCUGAAGGUUAUUUUAUUUUUACAAAAGCAAUCAAAUAGAAUUCAACAUUUUAAAUUAAUUUCCUAAAACAGAAAAAAAUGACCAACAUCCCAAUAGAAAAUAAUGAGCAGAGGACAGAAAUAAUUAGUUCACAGAAAGGAAAUGAAAUAGUUCUAAAAUAUAAAAAAUGAUGCUUAACCUCACAAUUUUAAAAAGCAAUUCAACAAUAGAUGAAGAUACUACUCUUUCCUAGUAUACAAGUAUUGUCAGACUGAGAGACACCCUCAUACAUUUUUGUUAGAAGUUUAAAUUGUAUGACCCUUAAAGAGAACAAUGUGAAAAAUAGUUUAAUUGGAUAUCUAUUUGAAAAAAUAAUAAAAUUUAAUCCAUACCUUAUACCAUAUACAAAAAUUACCCAAAAUGUCUCAUAUAUCUCAACAUAAAACCUAAUAUUAUAAAAUUUCUAGAAAAAGACAUAAGAGAAAAAUUUUAUGAACAUGAGUUAGGCAAAGAUUUCAUAGAUAUAAUACAAAAAUCAUGAUCCAUAGAAGAAUACACUAUUACAGUGAACUUCAAAUUAAAAUUUUCCUUUUCUUUGAAAGAUAUUAUAAGGAAAAUAAAAAGACAAAGCACCCACUGGGGGAAUAUUUUACAAAAUAUAUAUAGAUCAAUAACAUACACCCAGAAUAUAUAAAGAACACUCAAAAUCUAUAAGAACUAACAACUUCACCAAAGAUUACAAAUAGCAAAUAAGAACAUGAAAAAAUGCUCAACAUUAUUGAUUAGAAAACUAUAAAUUAAAAUCGCAAUGAGAUACCACUACACAUUUGUUAGAAUGUUGAAGUUAGAGAUUUACCAUACAUAACAUUGACAAGGGUCUAGAACACCUGGAACUUUCAAAUACCUCCAGUGGGAACAUAAAAUGAUAUAACAACUUUGGGAAACAGUUUGGUAGUUCCUUAAAAGUUUGACAUAGAGAAGUUGACCAAGAUGGUAGUGUAGGAGUACAUAGAACUCAAUUACCUCUGUGAACACAUCAAAAAUGUAUCUAUGUGUAGAAUAAAUGCCACUGAAAACUAACUGGAAACUGGCAGAAAGACUCCUUUAUAACCAAAGGUGUAAGAAAUACUCACACAGAAUUGAAUAGUAAGGGAAUAAAUGUGAUCGGGUUGGGACUUUUGUCCUUGGGAGAGGACUCAGAGUAAAGGGGAAAAUACACUUGUGGAGGUCUACCCUUGGGAGUGAGCUAUAAGCCAUAUAUUGGGUGUGCCAGCCCUGAAGUCAGACACAGGGAAGAGGAUCCCCCAUGGUUUGUUGGAGGGAAACUUAGACUAACAGGAGGGCUUUGGGAAUCCUGAGCUCUGCUCACGAGGAGCAUAUGAGCACUGGCUUGCCACUGAGGCAGAGGAGAGAGGGCAGACUGAGGACUGUUCCAGUGACUGCCUAGUUUCCCAUGACUUUCCUAUGUGUGCCUAUAGUUAAACUGAGUGAGAGUUCAACUAUGGGACUCAGAGGUGAAUUGGACUAGGGGUAGUAUCUGAACACACUGCAGGUGGCCAUUGCAGUUGCUUGCACAGAUAGAGUUUAUAGAUGGUCCCAAACUUUGACAGCAUCCAGACAGCCAGGAC